CCGUUGCCGGCGACCGGCGCACGGGUGAGUAACACGUAUGCAACCUGCCCGUGACAGGGGGAUAAGCGGGGGAAACCCCGUCUAAUACCGCGUAACGCGGCCUUGGGGCAUCCCAAGGCCGCCAAAGGGAGCAAUCCCGGCCACGGAUGGGCAUGCGGCGCAUUAGCUAGUCGGCGGGGUAACGGCCCACCGAGGCGACGAUGCGUAGGGGUUCUGAGAGGAAGGCCCCCCACACUGGUACUGAGACACGGACCAGACUCCUACGGAAGGCAGCAG
rnacentral:rRNA from 1 species